rnacentral:rRNA from 1 species
GUGGAUUAGAUACCCUGGUAGUCCACGCUGUAAACGAUGAGAACUUGCUGUUGGGCGCUGAAUAAGUGUUUAGUAGCGUAGUUAACGCGAUAAGUUCUCCGCCUGGGGAGUACGGCCGCAAGGUUAAAACUCAAAGGAAUUGACGGGGGCCCGCACAAGCGGUGGAGUAUGUGGUUUAAUUCGACGCAACGCGAAGAACCUUACCUACUCUUGAAUCCUAAGAAUUUUGCAGAAAUGCAGAAGUGCCGCAAGGAGCUUAGAGACAGGUGCUGCACGGCCGUCGUCAGCG